GACGAACGCUGGCGGCGUGCUUAACACAUGCAAGUCGAACGGAAAGGCCCUGCUUUUGUGGGGUGCUCGAGUGGCGAACGGGUGAGUAACACGUGAGUAACCUGCCCUUGACUUUGGGAUAACUUCAGGAAACUGGGGCUAAUACCGGAUAGGAGCUCCUGCUGCAUGGUGGGGGUUGGAAAGUUUCGGCGGUUGGGGAUGGACUCGCGGCUUAUCAGCUUGUUGGUGGGGUAGUGGCUUACCAAGGCUUUGACGGGUAGCCGGCCUGAGAGGGUGACCGGCCACAUUGGGACUGGGAUACGGCCCAGACUCCUUCGGGAGGCAGCAGUGGGGGAUAUUGCAACAUGGGCGGAAGCCUGAUGCAGCAACGCCGCGUGCGGGAUUGCGGCCUUCGGGUUGUAAACCGCUUUCGCCUGGGACGAAGCGGGAGUGACGGUAAUGGGUAAAGAAGAAACGGCUAACUACGUG
rnacentral:rRNA from 1 species